GACGAACGCUGGCGGCGUGCUUAACACAUGCAAGUCGAACGGUGAAGCGCCUUCCUUUUUGGUGGGUGUGGAUGAGUGGCGAACGGGUGAGUAACACGUUAGUAACCUGCCCCCUUCUUCUGGAUAACCGCAUGAAAGUGUGGCUAAUACGGGAUAUUCUGGGUCUGUCGCAUGAUGGGUCUGGGACAGAUAUUGUUUCGGUGGGGGAUGGGCUCGCGGCCUAUCAGCUUGUUGGUGGGGUGAUGGCCUACCAAGGCGGUGACGGGUAGCCGGCCUGAGAGGGUGGACGGUCACAGGGGGAAUGAGACACGGCCCAGACUCCGAGGGGAGGCAGCAGGGGGGAAUAUUGCACAAUGGGAGCAAGCCUGAUGCAGCGACGCCGCGUGAGGGAUGGAGGCCUGCGGGUUGUGAACCUCUUUCGCCAGUGAAGCAGGCCUGCCUCGUUUGUGGGUGGGUUGACGGUAGCUGGAGAAGAAGCGCCGGCUAACUACGUG
rnacentral:rRNA from 1 species